rnacentral:lncRNA from 1 species
CCAUCCUCUCUCUCUCCCCUCCUCCACCCCCUCCCCCACCCUGCUGUUUCUUUCAUUCAGCUGGAUCUCACUAUGCUGCCCAACGCUACGCUGAAACUCCUGGGCUCAAGUGAUCCUCCUGCCUCAGCCUCCUGAGUGCUAGGAUUAGAGGCUGAACCGCUGCAACCAGCUUAAAACUGCCAUUCUUACUACAGCUGGAAAUGAGCCACAGCAAAUCACCUUCAAAAGGAAAGGAUACAGAAAAGAAGUCAAUGCACAAAAGAACCACAGCUGAGCCAAGAAUUUUCAGGUACUUUGGUUAAGUCCGUGCCCCAAGAAAGACUGGGAGUGGUAGAUGCAGCUACAAGAUGAAGGAACCUGAACAAUCCAUGAACAGAAGGAGUUUGAGGUACUCACAUUUAAAACGUUAAAUAAUGUUUCUAUUUUGUAUGUCAGUUAUUGCCCAAUUCAAUGUAAUUUACCUCAUAAUGAUAUUUUCACUUUCAGUAAAACCCAAGUUGUGAGUAGAGUUGGAAAUAUACUAAAAGUAAUAGAAUGAGAUUAUCUAUGUUGCAAGGUAGAAUUUCUGUUCCAGAUUUUUUAAAAUCAACUUUCUUUUUUUUUUUUUUUUUUUGAGACGGAGUUUUGCUCUUGUUACCCAGGCUGGAGUGCAUUCAUGGAAUGAUUGUGAGAACUCUAUUUUACUAGGAAUGGUAAAAAUAUAUUAGGCACAUAUUAAAAUGUUUCUGCAUUAUAAUCUCUUAACCUAAAAUAAAAAUUUUCAGUCCGUAAACCACUAUCUAUUCAAAAUUCAAUGUAUUCAGGAGUAGAGAGGAAAAGUAUUCUGAUUAGACAGAAAAAGAAUUAAAAACUGACAAAACCCACAAAAACAUCAAUCACUUAUGCUCCAAUGUUUAAAAACUGCAGACUUCUUGUGAGGCAAAACUCAAACAUCUUCCUUAUUGAAACUCUGAAGAUAGGAUUAGGUUUGCAUUUCCACAAAGUGUAAGCUCAUGGGAGGAGACAAGCAGCUUGGCUGAUGGGG